rnacentral:rRNA from 1 species
UGGGGAAUAUUGGACAAUGGGGGCAACCCUGAUCCAGCCAUGCCGCGUGAGGGAAGAAGGCCUUCGGGUUGUAAACCUCUUUCGGGCGGGACGAAACGGGGCGCACGAAUAGUGCGUCUUACUGACGGUACCCGCAGAAUAAGCCCCGGCUAACUUCGUGCCAGCAGCCGCGGUAAGACGAAGGAUGCAAGCGUUAUCCGGAUUCAUUGGGUUUAAAGGGUGCGUAGGCGGACCAGUAAGUCAGUGGUGAAAUCUCUUUGCUUAACAAAGAAACUGCCAUUGAUACUGCUAGUCUAGAGUAUAGAUGACGUUGGCGGAAUAUGACAUGUAGUGGUGAAAUACUUAGAUAUGUCAUAGAACACCGAUUGCGAAGGCAGCUAACGAAACUAUAACUGACGCUGAGGCACGAAAGUGCGGGGAUCAAACAGGAUUAGAUACCCUAGUAGUCCCUGAGCGGGCUGGCAAGGCGCAU